rnacentral:rRNA from 1 species
UGAUAUGCUUGUCUCAAAGAUUAAGCCAUGCAUGUCUCAGUGCAAGCCGAAGUAAGGUGAAACCGCGAAUGGCUCAUUAAAUCAGUUAUGGUUCAUUGGACUUAACCAGUUACUUGGAUAACUGUGGUAAUUCUAGAGCUAAUACAUGCCAAAUGAAUCUCGACCAGCAAUGGAAGGGAUGCUUUUAUUAGAUCAAAACCAAUCGGCCCCGGCCCGAAGUUCGCCUUCGGUGCCGUCGGCCGUUGAAUUUUGGUGACUCUGGAUAACUUUGGGCUGAUCGCACGGUCUUAGUACCGGUGACGAUCCCUUCAAAUGUCUGCCUUAUCAACUGACGAUGGUAGGCUCUGCGCCUACCAUGGUUGUAACGGGUGACGGAGAAUCAGGGUUCGAUUCCGGAGAGGGAGCCUGAGAAACGGCUACCACAUCCAAGGAAGGCAGCAGGCGCGCAAAUUACCCACUUCCGGCACGGGGAGGUAGUGACGAAAAAUAACGAUAUGGGACUCAUCCGAGGCCCCAUAAUCGGAAUGAGAACACUUUAAAUACUUUAACAAGUAUCUAUUGGAGGGCAAGUCUGGUGCCAGCAG